GACGAACGCUGGCGGCGUGCUUAACACAUGCAAGUCGAACGGAAAGGCCUGCUUUCCCUUGUGGAUUGCGGGUACUCGAGUGGCGAACGGGUGAGUAACACGUGAGUGAUCUGCCCCCAACUUGGGUAUAAGCCUGGGAAACUGGGUCUAAUUCCCGAUAGGACUGCAGGGUGGUGCCUGUGGUGGAAAACGAUUUUCUAGUGGUUGGGGAUGAGCUCGCGGCCUAUCAGCUUGUUGGUGGGGUAAUGGCCUACCAAGGCGGCGACGGGUAGCCGGCCUGAGAGGGUGGACGGCCACAUUGGGACUGGGAUACGGCCCAGACUCCUACGGGAGGCAGCAGUGGGGAAUAUUGCACAAUGGGCGGAAGCCUGAUGCAGCGACGCCGCGUGGGGGAUGACGGCCUUCGGGUUGUAAACUCCUUUCGACCGCGAGGAAGCCACCUGGUUGGAAGGGUGGUGACGGUAGAGGUAGAAGAAGCACCGGCUAACUACGUG
rnacentral:rRNA from 1 species